UACGUAGGGGGCAAGCGUUGUCCGGAAUCAUUGGGCGUAAAGAGCGUGUAGGCGGUCCGGUAAGUCGGAUGUGAAAUCCCCAGGCUCAACCUGGGAACUGCAUCCGAUACUGGAUGGCUUGAAUUCGGGAGAGGGAUGCAGAAUUCCAGGUGUAGCGGUGAAAUGCGUAGAUAUCUGGAGGAACACCGGUGGCGAAGGCGGCUUCCUGGACCGACACUGACGCUGAGGCGCGAAAGCUAGGGGAGCAAACGGG
rnacentral:rRNA from 1 species